UACUAUCCAGCGAAACCA
rnacentral:snRNA from 1 species